rnacentral:rRNA from 1 species
AGCGGUGGUGAAGGCUUGCCUUUACCAGCCGGCGACCGGCGCACCGUUGAGUAACACGUAUGCAACCUGCCUGCCACAGCCGGAUAAUCGGGAGAAAUUCCGUCUAAUACGGCAUAAUGCAUCGACGGGACAUCCUGUUGGUGCCAAAGGUUGAUUCCGGUGGCGGAUGGGCAUGCGUCGCAUUAGUUAGUUGGCGGUGUAACGGACCACCAAGACGACGAUGCGUAGGGGUUCUGAGAGGAAGGUCCCCCACACUGGUACUGAGACACGGACCAGACUCCUACGGGAGGCAGCAGUGAGGAAUAUUGGUCAAUGGGCGGGAGCCUGAACCAGCCAAGUCGCGUGAGGGAUGACGGCCCUAUGGGUUGUAAACCUCUUUUGCCGGGGAGCAAAGUGCCGCACGUGUGCGGUUUGGAGAGUACCCGGAGAAAAAGCAUCGGCUAACUCCGUGCCAGCAGCCGCGGUAAUACGGAGGAUGCGAGCGUUAUCCGGAUUUAUUGGGUUUAAAGGGUGCGUAGGCGGACGCUUAAGUCAGCGGUAAAAUUGCGGGGCUCAACCUCGUCGAGCCGUUGAAACUGGGUGCCUUGAGUGGGCGAGAAGUACGCGGAAUGCGUGGUGUAGCGGUGAAAUGCAUAGAUAUCACGCAGAACUCCGAUUGCGAAGGCAGCGUACCGGCGCCCAACUGACGCUGAAGCACGAAGGCGUGGGUAUC